AUACGUAGGGGGCGAGCGUUGUCCGGAAUGAUUGGGCGUAAAGGGCGCGUAGGCGGCUUUGCAAGUCUGUAGUGGAAGUCCAUUGUUCAAGGGGGGAAGUGCUACGGAAACUGGGGAGCUUGAGUGCAGGAGAGGUUAUUGGAAUUCCCGGUGUAGAGGUGAAAUGCGUAGAGAUCGGGAGGAACACCAGUGGCGAAGGCGGGUAACUGGACUGCAACUGACGCUGAGGCGCGAAAGUGUGGGGAGCAAACAGGAUUAGAUACCCUGGUAGUCCACGCUGUAAACGAUGAAUGCUAGGUGUAGGAGGGAUCGCCCCCUUCUGUGCCGCAGUAAACACAGUAAGCAUUCCGCCUGGGGAGUACGGUCGCAAGAUUAAAACUCAAAGGAAUUGACGGGG
rnacentral:rRNA from 1 species